rnacentral:rRNA from 5 species
CUUUGUUGCCAGCGGUCCGGCCGGGAACUCAAAGGAGACUGCCAGUGAUAAACUGGAGGAAGGUGGGGAUGACGUCAAGUCAUCAUGGCCCUUACGACCAGGGCUACACACGUGCUACAAUGGCGCAUACAAAGAGAAGCGACCUCGCGAGAGCAAGCGGACCUCAUAAAGUGCGUCGUAGUCCGGAUUGGAGUCUGCAACUCGACUCCAUGAAGUCGGAAUCGCUAGUAAUCGUGGAUCAGAAUGCCACGGUGAAUACGUUCCCGGGCCUUGUACACACCGCCCGUCACACCAUGGGAGUGGGUUGCAAAAGAAGUAGGUAGCUUAACCUUCGGGAGGGCGCUUACCACUUUGUGAUUCAUGACUGGGGUGAAGUCGUAACAAGGUAACCGUAGGGGAACCUGCGGUUGGAUCACCUCCUUACCUUAAAGAAGC